ensembl:lncRNA
UAUAAACAUUUAACAUAGCUUUUAAAUAUCUUCUAAUAUCUCUGUCUCAGGUACUGGGGCGCAAUGUACGAGAUUUCAUCAAUGAGCUAGAUAACCUGCAUGAGUACUUCCGUUUCUCCUUCCCAAAAGUCCAGCCACCCAGUUUCUGUGUAGAGGAAGAAUGUGAGACGAGUCUUACCCUGCACUACCGUUCAACCAGGAAAGGAUUCACACAGUUUGUCAAAGGGCAGCUCUCUCAGGUGGGCCGACAGUUUUACAACACAGACCUUGAGGUGGAGAUUCUGUCUAAAGAGGAAACAGAGAAAAUGACAUAUGUGGUGUACAAGAUGAAUUUUGACAAUGCUGCGUUUAAGCACCGUAUGCCCCAGCAGAAAACAGCUCCAGGCUAUGAGAAACUGCCCAUGAAGAGAGGAAUCUUUUUUGACAUGUUCCCCUUCAGCGUGAUAUUCCGCAGAGACAUGACCAUGUAUCGGAUCGGAGAUGGUUUGAAAGAGGUGUUUUCUGAUCUGCAGGGCAAAAAGGUCAAUGAGGAGUUUACCCUGGUACGACCCAUGCUGGAAUUCAGCUGGGAUAAUGUGAGUAAACGGGAGGGUAGUGGAACAGAUCCAAAGCCAAAGCAGCAUGAAAGUAACCUAAGCAUCUAAAAAAAAAUGUAUGAUUAUGCUCUCUUUUCUUGCUCUCGGCAUUUAUGUCCUGAUAAAGCGUUUUGCUGGUGUGUGCUCUUUCAGAUCUACACUCACCUCAACAAUGUGUUUGAACUGCUGUCUAAAGCUGUGGUGGAGAGCAAACAGAAGAUCAACAUCCCUAAACUCAGCAAAGAAGAACCAGAGGAAAAAGAGGAGAGUGAAAAACCCAAAAAGGAAGAGAGAGGUAUGGUAGAUUAGUAAUUGUGAGGCCAAAACAGAAUCUGCAGAAUGUUUUCACAAUUUUUAAGCUGUUUUUGGGGGGAAAAUCUGUGGAAUUUUGGUCAAAGGUGUCAGUACUAAACUCUUAUUGGCAGCUGAAAACAAAUUAUCCAUAAUAUGUUUAAAAAAAAAAAAAGUCAGUGAUGUGAUGCUAAAUAAUUUAUCUAUUUAUUCCUAAUAAUUUAUCAAAAAAUACAUAAAAAAUACAAUACCAUUCAAUUUAUUUAUUUAUUUUUUGGGGAAAAAAGUACUUUAUUAUAAAUUAAUAAUUGAUAAAAAGUUGGAAUAAACACAUUUAUAAUGUUACA